UACGUAGGUGACAAGCGUUGUCCGGAUUUACUGGGCGUAAAGAGCGCGCAGGCGGUCGAUCAAGUCGAGUGUGAAAGCCCCCGGCUCAACUGGGGAGGGUCAUUCGAUACUGAUCGACUCGAAGGCAGGAGAGGGUAGUGGAAUUCCCGGUGUAGUGGUGAAAUGCGUGGAUAUCGGGAGGAACACCAGUGGCGAAGGCGACUACCUGGCCUGUUCUUGACGCUGAGGCGCGAAAGCUAGGGGAGCAAACGGG
rnacentral:rRNA from 1 species